rnacentral:ncRNA from 1 species
GAACGGCGACAGGGGUGCCCGCCUUUCCGGGCUGAGAUCAUACCCUUCGAACCUGGCCGGCAGACCGGCGUAGGGAGUCACCAGGCUCAAGGG